ensembl:lincRNA linc-166 ncRNA
CCAUUUUUGGAGGUGUCGAAACUUUUUUUUUCUCACCGUUUUUUAAUAAUACAUGAGACGCGGACAAUGGCACUAAUUUCGUUCAAGUUUUGGGGGCGCGGUGGGGGGGGGGGGGGGUGACUAGAAACUAGGUAUGAACAAUCUAUGCAAAAUAACUAAAUAUUCAUCCAAAAUGAAUAUAUUGCAUGUUCAUCAAAUAUUCCGAUUUCUAAUAGGGGGAACUUGUGUAGUCGGCAAAUGUCUAACACAAUCGCCCAAGGUCCAAACACUAAUAUGCUCUUUUACCGGGUACACCACAGAGCGUUGGAAGAAAAAAGUGGAGAAGCGGAGGUGAAGUGAAAUUGAAAAAUUGAAGGAGGGCUUCCCAUUGGAUUACUUUACAGAUUGAAUGGAAAGGUUUUUCUCGUGUCUCUUGAUUAGGUUCAGCAGAAAUUACAAGGUUCGCUAAAUUCUGACAUUUGUCAUGUCUACUUUUAUUCACCGAUUUUUUCACCGACAACUUUCGAUGACAAAGUCAGCUUUUUAUUCAAACUUCAGCUUUUGUAGAAGUUAUACAUUUAUCUGAACAUAUAUUUGUUGAUCUUUACGUUUUAGGAUUAAAUAUUUGGCAUUGCAACAUUCAAAAUUCCACUUUAUUAUUUUCUUAUCUAAGUAUUCUAUUAAAAAAUUUUCUGAACCCUACAAUUUUGAAAACCUCGAAAUUUUUUGAUUGAUUUAUUAUAAUAUUCGGUUUUGUUGGACUACUAUUGGUGUGUUUGAACAAUAUUCCCUCCCACAGGCGCUACAUUCAAAAAAUGUAAGUUAAUUAAUUGUUUUUAUAUACAGAUCAAACAGGAAAAAUAUUCAGAAACAAAUCAAAUUAAAUACUUUGAAACUUGAGUAAUCAGUCAUAGAAAUUUUAAAAAAAUUCUGAAAGUUGCUCAGAACUUCAAACUUUGAAUAAUUCGCAACUCUGAUUAUAUUUUAUUAUCAACUUUUACUUAAAUUCUAAAAACAGUUUUCAUCAAUAAAUGCAAAAUUCUAUCUAUCUAACUAAUAACUAUCUAUAUAGCUAUCAUAAUCCAAAAAAAAUGAAAUAAAUUGAGGGGCCCUUUGAGUUGAUUGCCCACUCUCAACAAGUUGACAUGUGUCUUGGCCAUUCAAGGAAAACUAGACAAAAUAUUGAACAAAAAAUUGUGUUUUUUUGUUUGGUGUCAGUGUAUUGUUGUCUCAUAAAAAUUCCAUUAACGAGAAACCAAUUGCGAUGACAAUUGAAAACAAUGGAUGUUUUCUGGUAGUCUCUGAUGGUGAAUCAAAAGAAUAGGUAUUAGCUCUUUUUUUGAAUAAAUACGUCGAAAGGUUUCAUGAGACGAUUUUUUUAUCCUUUUAUCCUUCCAAAAACCGGAAAAUUAGCAAAAAAUAAUGGUCUUUUAGUAAUUUUAGAACUUUUCGAGUCUAUUGAUGCAACAAACCUACCAAUGCUACUACCUCCUUUAGUUAAAAAAAAACCCAUCAGCAAAAUCUUGAAAUACAUUUUUCCUCCAAACAUGUUUGUAUCGUUAUCAUUGUUUUAUUACAAGUAAUGGGACAAAAUUCAAAUUUAUAAAUAAAGUCUACAAAUGUGCAACUACCGGGAAACUGAAAACAUUAAGUCAAAACGUAAUUUCCAAAAUAAGCAAUAAACAUUCCUAGAAUGGCACGAGAACUUGAUAUCUCACUUUUCACCUGGCUAUCUGAUUUUCUCAGACUAAAAAUUAUUUCUUUCGAUAAAGCUUUAGUGUAUGUACUUUCUAGUGAUGAAUAAUGUUUUCCGUCACACUCAGACAUUAAUUAUAAGCUUGAUAAAGUGCUUAUUACUAGGCAAUGAUGUUCGCAAGCACACAAUGUUCUUGCAGAUGAGAAAAAUUGCAUGAAUGCUACAGGUUUUAUUGAAAAGUGGAAUAUGGUCAGAAGAAUAAUUUUUAGAAUUUGGAAUUACUUAAAAGCACUUUUUAAAAUAUCUAAAACUAUCGCACUUCACGAAGUGUUUAAUAUUUACAAAAUGACUGUUUAACAGGAAAUCAUAGUUUUUGCAAAGCAUUAUAUAAAAAUUGUCCAAACGUUAUAAAAUUGGAUUUUUGGCAGUUUUUUCAAGAUGUCUAAACAUUAUGAAAAAAUGCACUGGAAACACUUUAGAACUAGCUUUUUCUAGUUCCAGCUUCUUCUCUCCUGCUAAAUUAUUUGCGAUAACGGUCACGGAGGUGGCAGAAGUAGAGUUUGCAAAGUGUGAAGAAAGUUUGAAUAAGUGCAAAAAAAAAACUGCAACACACUGCCACAAUCUCUUUUUUCUUUUUCCUCUUCACAACACAAAGAAAAAAGGACUAUAAUAAAGAAAGGAUACAUUGAGUCAAAAGAUAGCUCAUAACUUAGUCCUGCUCACAUAACCCGUAGAAGAUAUCAAAGGAAAACGGCGUGGAGGAAAGAAGGGGAAAAAAUGAGAGAAAGUGAGCUGGAAUAACUGAGAAGGGGGGGGGGGUGUACAGAAAAAGUGAAGAAGUAGGAAAAAGAGCGGGGGUAUUCUAAUAUCACUUGAAGAAGUCAUCCUUCUAUAGACUUCUAAAAUUGAAUCAUAACUUUAAGCCCCUAGAGCACUUAAAACAUAUACGUCCCCAAUUUAUGCAAAACGUUUUCCUUCCGUGUCCCCCUUUUUUUUGAGGAAAAGCUGAGGAAAAUAAAGAAAUAAAAGAAAAUGUUGAACUUUAUGCUGCGUUUCGCAUUUUUGGAAAGCAAAAAGGGAACACUUGUGUAUUAUUAGUUUGGCCAUAAUUUUCCCCUAAACUUUAUUCCAAGACAAUUAAAAAUAUUUAUCAUCUUUUAGUUUCAGUUUGUUCUAUUUGCACAAUUUUGGUGCAUUUUGUUUGAUUUUGUAAGCUUGGCUAUUUUGCACAAUUUCCAAGAAGAGGGCCGUCUACUGCAAUGCUAACUAUUGAGAGACAUUUUUGAUUUUAUUUUUUUGAGUUGAUAUAUUAAUAAAGAAAAACAACUU